rnacentral:rRNA from 1 species
UUAAGUUAAUAAGGGCGCACGGUGGAUGCCUUGGCACUAGGAGCCGACGAAGGACGUGACAAACGACGAUAUGCCUUGGGUAGCUGUAAGUAAGCGAUGAUCCAGGGAUUUCCGAAUGGGGGAACCCAACAGGUAAUACCUGUUACCUACAUCUGUUAAGGAUGUGAGGAGGAAGACGCAGUGAACUGAAACAUCUAAGUAGCUGCAGGAAGAGAAAGCAAAAGCGAUUGCCUUAGUAGCGGCGAGCGAAACGGCAGAAGGGCAAACCGAAGAGUUUACUCUUCGGGGUUGUAGGACUGCAAUGUGGACUCAAAGAUUAUAGAAGAAUGAUUUGGGAAGAUCAGCCAAAGAGAGUAAUAGCCUCGUAUUUAAAAUAGUCUUUGUACUUAGCAGUAUCCUGAGUACGGCGGGACACGUGAAAUCCCGUCGGAAUCUGGGAGGACCAUCUCCCAACCCUAAAUACUCCCUAGUGACCGAUAGUGAACCAGUACCGUGAGGGAAAGGUGAAAAGCACCCCGGGAGGGGAGUGAAAUAGAACCUGAAACCGUGUGCCUACAACAAGUUCGAGCCCGUUAAUGGGUGAGAGCGUGCCUUUUGUAGAAUGAACCGGCGAGUUACGUUAUGAUGCGAGGUUAAGUUGAAGAGACGGAGCCGUAGGGAAACCGAGUCUGAAUAGGGCGCCUUAGUAUCAUGACGUAGACCCGAAACCAUGUGACCUACCCAUGAGCAGGUUGAAGGUGCGGUAAGACGCACUGGAGGACCGAACCAGGGCACGUUGAAAAGUGCUUGGAUGACUUGUGGGUAGCGGAGAAAUUCCAAACGAACUUGGAGAUAGCUGGUUCUCUCCGAAAUAGCUUUAGGGCUAGCGUCGACAUUAGAGAUUCUUGGAGGUAGAGCACUGUUUGGGUGAGGGGUCCAUCCCGGAUUACCAAUCUCAGAUAAACUCCGAAUGCCAAUGAAUUAUGGUCGGCAGUCAGACUGCGAGUGCUAAGAUCCGUAGUCGAAAGGGAAACAGCCCAGACCACCAGCUAAGGUCCCAAAAUAAUUGUUAAGUGGAAAAGGAUGUGGGGUUGCACAGACAACUAGGAUGUUAGCUUAGAAGCAGCUAUUCAUUCAAAGAGUGCGUAAUAGCUCACUAGUCGAGUGACCCUGCGCCGAAAAUGUACCGGGGCUAAAACAAUUUACCGAAGCUGUGGAUACCUUUAUAGGUAUGGUAGGAGAGCGUUCUAUGUGUGAUGAAGGUAUACCGUGAGGAGUGCUGGAACGCAUAGAAGUGAGAAUGCCGGUAUGAGUAGCGAAAGACAGGUGAGAAUCCUGUCCACCGUAAGACUAAGGUUUCCAGGGGAAGGCUCGUCCGCCCUGGGUUAGUCGGGACCUAAGGAGAGACCGAAAGGUGUAUCCGAUGGACAACAGGUUGAUAUUCCUGUACUAGAGUAUGUAGUGAUGGAGGGACGCAGUAGGCUAACUAAAGCAGACGAUUGGAAGAGUCUGUCUAAGCAGUGAGGUGUGAAUUGAGUCAAAUGCUUAAUUCUAUAACAUUGAGCUGUGAUGGGGAGCGAAGUUUAGUAGCGAAGUUAGUGACGUCACACUGCCAAGAAAAGCUUCUAGCGUUUAAACAUACUCUACCCGUACCGCAAACCGACACAGGUAGUCGAGGCGAGUAGCCUCAGGUGAGCGAGAGAACUCUCGUUAAGGAACUCGGCAAAAUGACCCCGUAACUUCGGGAGAAGGGGUGCUGACUUAAAGUCAGCCGCAGUGAAUAGGCCCAAGCAACUGUUUAUCAAAAACACAGCUCUCUGCUAAAUCGUAAGAUGAUGUAUAGGGGGUGACGCCUGCCCGGUGCUGGAAGGUUAAGAGGAGUGCUUAGCGUAAGCGAAGGUAUGAAUUGAAGCCCCAGUAAACGGCGGCCGUAACUAUAACGGUCCUAAGGUAGCGAAAUUCCUUGUCGGGUAAGUUCCGACCCGCACGAAAGGCGUAAUGAUUUGGGCACUGUCUCAACGAGAGACUCGGUGAAAUUUUAGUACCUGUGAAGAUGCAGGUUACCCGCGACAGGACGGAAAGACCCCAUGGAGCUUUACUGCAGUUUGAUAUUGAGUGUCUGUACCACAUGUACAGGAUAGGUAGGAGUCUAAGAGAUCGGGACGCCAGUUUCGAAGGAGACGCUGUUGGGAUACUACCCUUGUGUUAUGGCCACUUUAACCCAGAUAGGUGAUCCCUAUCGGAGACAGUGUCUGACGGGCAGUUUGACUGGGGCGGUCGCCUCCUAAAAGGUAACGGAGGCGCCCAAAGGUUCCCUCAGAAUGGUUGGAAAUCAUUCGCAGAGUGUAAAGGUAUAAGGGAGCUUGACUGCGAGAGCUACAACUCGAGCAGGGACGAAAGUCGGGCUUAGUGAUCCGGUGGUUCCGUAUGGAAGGGCCAUCGCUCAACGGAUAAAAGCUACCCUGGGGAUAACAGGCUUAUCUCCCCCAAGAGUUCACAUCGACGGGGAGGUUUGGCACCUCGAUGUCGGCUCGUCGCAUCCUGGGGCUGUAGUCGGUCCCAAGGGUUGGGCUGUUCGCCCAUUAAAGCGGCACGCGAGCUGGGUUCAGAACGUCGUGAGACAGUUCGGUCCCUAUCCGUCGCGGGCGUAGGAAAUUUGAGAGGAUCUGCUCCUAGUACGAGAGGACCAGAGUGGACUUACCGCUGGUGUACCAGUUGUCUUGCCAAAGGCAUCGCUGGGUAGCUAUGUAGGGAAGGGAUAAACGCUGAAAGCAUCUAAGUGUGAAACCCACCUCAAGAUGAGAUUUCCCAUGAUUAUAUAUCAGUAAGAGCCCUGAGAGAUGAUCAGGUAGAUAGGUUAGAAGUGGAAGUGUGGCGACACAUGUAGCGGACUAAUACUAAUAGCUCGAGGACUUAUCCAA